rnacentral:rRNA from 1 species
AACGCAGCGAAGGGCGAUAAGUAAUGUGAAUUGCAGAAUUCAGUGAAUCAUCGAAUCUUUGAACGCACCUUGCGCUCCUUGGUAUUCCGAGGAGCAUGCCUGUUUGGGUGUCAUGAAAUUCUCAACUGCCCCAGGCUUUGUGGCUUGUGGGUGAAGUUGGACUUGGAGAUAUGCUGGCGCAUGAAUGGGCUUUAUGCCCUGUUGUGCUUGUCGGCUCCUCUUGAAUGCAUGAGCUUUCCAAUCCUUGGCAAAGUAUCGUCGAUGUGAUAAUUAUCUAUGUCGCCUGAGAAAGCCGAAAAGGGGAAAUCUUUGAUCACGCUGGGGUGACCCCCUCGUCUGACACAUUCGACCUCAAAUCAGGUAGGACUACCCGCUGAACUUAA